rnacentral:lncRNA from 1 species
ACUAUCGAACAAUUGAAACCACAAUUUUGUUUCGCCUGAAUUGGUCGCAGAUUCGCGACAAAACCCAUUCUCUGUCAUCUCCCACAACAACGCCAACAUAUAUAGACAUAUUAUAUAAAGCUAGUCUCCUAUACUAUCGAUAGUACCGGGGCUCCGGUACUAUAGUCCCGUUUUCGAUCUUAGGGUGUUCAAAUCAACGAUCCACACCGUUAAAACUGAUCUAGGGUAUUUAAAGUUUUUAGAAAUAAAAUUUUAUAUUUUUCCGACAUAGUUUACUUUAUGAUCAAACCAUUUCAAAAUUGUCAAUUUUCAAUGGCUAUGGCGAGUUUGGAGUUUAAUGGCGUACAAGAAUCUAAAUUUCUUCAAAUUUUGAUAGAAAAUACUUUAAACUAUCUAGAUUAAGGUUAACAUUCUUGUUCUUGAAUUUAAAAGUCCUAUGCUCAAAUUUUAAAGAUUAUUCAAUUUCCAUCGUCCAUUUUGACAUAAUUUAUUUACUAAGUAAACGAUGUCGAAAAAAACUAAAAUUUUAUUCCUAAGAAUUUCAUAUACCGUAGAUCAUAUUUAACGGUGUGGAUCAUUAAUUUGAACACCCUAAGAUCGAAAACAAGACUAUAGUACCGGAGCUCCGGUACUAUAGAUAGUAUAGUAGCCUAAUUCUAUUAUAUAUAUAUAAAUCUAAUUUAAAUAAGAAUUGAAAUUCAAAUUUGAAUUUUUCUUGAAUUAAAAGUCUCAAAUAUUACAUUACUCUGUUUGAGAAGAAAAUUGCACUAUUUGAGACAAAACUUGCACUUUUUGAGUGAAAGUUGUAUUAUUUGAGCAUCUGAUAGUGGACGACUUUGUGGUCAAUGA